rnacentral:rRNA from 1 species
CGCGUAGGCGGCUAUUUAAGUCUGAUGUGAAAUCCCCGGGCUCAACCUGGGAAUGGCAUCGGAUACUGGGUAGCUAGAGUGCAGUAGAGGAAGGUGGAAUUCCAGGUGUAGCGGUGAAAUGCGUAGAGAUCUGGAGGAACACCAGUGGCGAAGGCGGCCUUCUGGACUGACACUGACGCUGAGGUGCGGAAGCGUGGGGAUCAAACA